AUUGAACGCUGGCGGCAGGCCUAACACAUGCAAGUCGAGCGAGCGGCGGACGGGUGAGUCAUGCCUGGGAAUUGCACAGUCGCGGGGGAUAACAGUUGGAAACGACUGCUAAUACCGCAUACGAUUGGAUUGCCCAGGUGGGAUUAGCUCGUUGGUGAGGUAAUGUCUCACCAAGGCGACGAUCCCUAGCUGGUAUGAGAGGUAUAUCAGCCCACCUGGAACUGAGAAACGGUCCGGACUCCUACGGGAGGAAGCAGUGGGGAAUAUUGCAAAAUGGGGGAAACCCUGAUGCAGCCAUGCCGCGUGUGUGAAGAAGGCCUUCGGGUUGUAAAGCACUUUCAGCGAGGAGGCGUUACUCGCAGAAGAAGCACCGGCUAACUCCGUGCCAGCAGCCGCGGUAAUUC
rnacentral:rRNA from 1 species